UAGACGGUAGGGUAUUGGCCUACCGUGGGUAUGACGGGUAACGGGGAAUUAGGGUUCGAUUCCGGAGAGGGAGCCUGAGAAACGGCUACCACAUCUAAGGAAGGCAGCAGGCACGCAAAUUACCCAAUCCUGACACAGGGAGGUAGUGACAAGAAAUAACAAUACAGGGCCUAACGGUCUUGUAAUUGGAAUGAGUGAAGUAUAAACCCCUUUACGAGUAUCAAUUGGAGGGCAAGUCUGGUGCCAGCAGCCGCGGUAAUUCCAGCUCCAAUAGCGUAUAUUAAAGUUGUUGCAGUUAAAAAGCUCGUAGUUGGAUUUCUGUUGUAUAAUCUAUAAUAUUACUAAGGUAUAUAUUAUAUUAUCAACAUCCUUCCUAUUAUAUUUCUAAAUAUAUAGGAAACUUUACUUUGAGAAAAUUAGAGUGCUUAAAGCAGGCAACUGCCUUGAAUACUCCAGCAUGGAAUAAUAAGUAAGGACUUUUGUCUUUCUUAUUGGUUCUAGGACAAAAGUAAUGGUUAAUAGGGACAGUUGGGGGCAUUCGUAUUUAACAGCCAGAGGUGAA
rnacentral:rRNA from 1 species